GGCCUGGUGGUGUAGAGGUAACACACCUGCUUGAUAUAUGUUUGGACUGUAAAUGGUUAGCAGUAUUCUCUUGUUGAACUCAAGGUCGGGCAG